CAUCCCCAGUAUCAGCCCUUUUUUUAGAUUUAUUAUUGUAACGAAUUUCUGCUAAGCGAAAAAAUAGUGCGGCUAUCGAAUUUCCAUAAAGUUUAACAGUCUUUCGGUACAAAUGGUACCGUCGGAAAAUGGAAAUAUUUACGGCUUACGGAAUAACGGUUUUGUUAUUUUCAAUUUUGGUACAUUGUUGGAAUGCAGUUUAAAAUAAUUGUAGACACAAGAUAUUUUCAUCGAAUACUUUAAUGAACUCUUUUUAGACGUUGUACAACAUUCCGACGUAUUUUUAUUUUGAUUUUUUCGAAAAUUUAAUAAACGUUUGAUCAUUAGUUGUUCUUAUGGCA